rnacentral:rRNA from 1 species
GAUGAACGCUGGCGGCGUGCCUAAUACAUGCAAGUCGAGCGAACGGACGAUAAGCUUGCUUUUCUGAUGUUAGCGGCGGACGGGUGAGUAACACGUGUAUAACCUACCUAUAAGACUGGGAUAACUUCGGAACACCGGAGCUAAUACCGGAGAAUCUUUUGAACCGCAGGGUUCAAAAGUGAAAUACGGUCUUUCGGGCACUAAUCGAUGCAUCCGGGCUGGAUUAUCUAGUUGUUAAGUUACCAGCUUACGAAGGCAACGAUGCAUAGCAGACCUGAGAGGGUGGUAGGCCACACUGGAACGGAGCCACGGUCCUGAGUCCUAAGGGAGGCAGCAGUAGGGAACGUUACGCAAUGGGCGGAAGCCUGACGGAGCAACGCCGCGUGAGUGAUGGAGGCCCUCGGAUCGUAAAACUCUGUUAUUAGUGAAGAACAGCUGUGUCCGUAACUGUGCACAUCUUGACGGUAACUAAUCAGAAAGCCACGGCUAACUACGUG